CUGAGGUCACUGCUAAACGCUUUCGCUCGCCGAGAGGCAGAGGGUGAAAAUGGGCUUUAAUUAGCCUUCCCAAAAACAUCCUUACUCCAGCAAAUCUUCUGGCUGCUGCUGGUGUGCAGAGGACGUUAAAGCACACGGCGGCAUCGCCAACCGCGGUGCCUGAAAUGUGAAUUUGUCGUCUGCUUCCACUGGAGGGGAAAGGAGGAAAAAAAAAAAAAAAGCCCAUGCACACCAUAAAACCCCUCCACCUGAAAACAACAGCCGGUUCCCUGGAGCAAGCCCGCGGUGGAGCAGCCAGCUGGAUUUUUUUCUUGCUUGAUGUCCCCGCCAACAUCUGGGGCCAGCUCUGAAAUCGCAUCCUGGAUGCAAAACCACCCGGUGCUUGCACGGCGCUGAUAAUGCAGCCGGCUGCAUCCCAAACCGCUGCUGGGGGCGUUCCAGGAGGAAUUUAUGCCUCUCUGCCUCGGACAGGACAGGGAUUUCCCUCACCUCCAGCCCAAUAAUGCACUGCCCUGCUGGGAGGUGUCAGUGCCUGAGAUGUGCACAGCUCCCGUGCAUGGGCAGGGAUUUGAUUCAGAUCUCCAAAAUGUGCCACUGAGGCUGUGUUCAGCAUGAUUUCGGCCACAGAGGUGUGGGAUGAAUCUCUUCAUCCGCAGCACUGUCUUGCCCAAGCAGGAUCCUGGCCGUGCAGCAGCCCCAGCGCUAUCAGGCAGAGUGGUGCUGGCCCUGGACAGCCUCCAAGCCACCAUCUAAUUCGGGAAGAGAAAGCAUCCCUGCUGCUAAUGGAAGAGGUCACCUUCUCACCCAGAAGCAGCCUUGCUGCUGUGCACAGAUGAUUUCUGCAGGGUGUAAAGCUUCCUGUUCCAGGGCCGGGGGCGCUUUCCCCCACAGACAUGGGAAACUGAGGCACGGGCAAGAGCCACAACCCCAGGAUGAGCCUGGGAGCCAGCUGCUCACUGCCAUCCCUCUCCCACCCAGGGAUGUCCCGGUGCCAUGAGGACUGUGAAAAUACUCAGGUUUGUGCUUUUUACAGCCCUGUGGCUCUGAAGGAGAGGUACUGGAGCUCCAGAGAGGGGGAGGAGACGGUGGCCAUGUCCCUGGUACUCUGCUGCUGCCUGGGUCGUGGAAGCUGGGAAAUCCAGACAGACACAUUUCCCCCCCAGCAGCUCCUGCUGGAUGCGGGAGAGAUGAGGAGCCCCCACUCAGCCUCUCCCAGCAUCGAAACAGUGAGUGCUCAAUUCAUCGCCCAGCUUAGGGACAGGAAAACGUGUAAAACUCCAGUUAUUGGUUUUGGGCACAAAGAAAUAUUUCCAUUUUCCGCCCGCCUUUAAUUAGGAUGCUUUUCGCUUGCCCAGCUCGCAGCCCGUAUUUGUCCACCCCAUUACCACUGCGCUGCUCUGCGCGAGCCGCAGGCUUCUCCAGAAAUCUCCUGGAUCUCCUUCCCGAUUAGUGAUGAAGGCACCGACACACCGAGGGCGUGCUACCAGCCGGCAGUGCCCAGCAGUGAUAAUCUCCUCUGAUAACUGCCUUUGAAAUGGAUCGGGUUUAUUCAAUACAGGCUUUCUCAAUGCUGCGUAAUGCCAGCUCUAAAUACUGGACUGAUUUUUUUUAAUACUGCAGAGUGCAGAUUUCUAUACGAAUAUCACAUCACAUAACUCAAACGCUGCAUAAAAGUGUGUUACAUCCAGAGUCACCUCUCUUGUCAGAGAAUGAAAUCGUUUCUACUCGCCAGGAGUUAUUUUCCACGCGGCCACAGUUGGGUGGCAGGAAUUUCUUCCUGGUGCUCAAGCCUUUAAUCAAUCCAAGCCCGAGCUAGGUUUCUCCUCCUCCUCCUCCCCGGGGGGAUGAUAUCAAGCCAAUCAACCUGUAGCUACCAGGUCAUCUUACUGCCUCCUGGGAAGAGCAGCAGCACCAUUAAAGCACUUUUUAAUCUGCUGGAAUUUCCCCAGGGCUCGCCCCAAGGCAGAGGCAGCUCCACGCGGCUGCAGAUGGGCAGCGAGAUUUCAGCUGUGACCAUCCCAGAAAAGCUAUUUGCUCAGAUCCCUAUUUGAAAAUUUCCCUUUUUUUUUUCUUUUUUUUUUCUUUUUUUCUUUUUAACGGAAACCGCUCGGAUUCGCAGCUUUGGUAUAAUGGAAACGACCGCAGCUCGGAUGCUGCCAGCGGAGGGAGAGGCCGCCCCGGCACUGCAAUGUGGAACAAAUUAUAACUCGGAGAGCAAAGGAAAUGAGAACACCCUGGCCUCAGCCGUGUUGGCGUGCGCUGCUCGGCUUCAAACCCUGCCCUCUGCAGAUCCCUACAGCCCGGUCCCUCUGCAGCCCUCCCCAAAUACCCCCGUGCGCCCGCUCUCCCAAAAAAGCUGGACCACAUCUCUGCUCCGCUGCCCGGCCCUUUGUCGUGUGAGCUUUAUCUGGCAGACGUGGGGACAGGCCAGGGGCUGAUCGUCUCAGUGCCAGCCUCGCCGCUGUCUUUAGCCGGAUCAGAGCGGGUAAACUCCUUAUUGUGUUAUUAUUAGCAGCAGCAGCACCACGGUUGUGCCCUGGACCCCCGGCCCAGAGGCUGCUCCAACAGGAUAUCGAGGCAGACCUGGCCCUGCAAAGAUUAACUAACAGGUUUUUGUUUUUGUUUUUUUUUUUUUUUUUUUCCCAAAAGCAGCAACGGCUUCACAAAUAGAUUAUAACGAUUUGAGACCUAGCUCUGCUAGGACAACAGGAGGCCUUUUAGCAGGGUUUAUUUUUUCCUUGCCUUUUUCUUUUUUUUUUUGGAAUCAUUAUUUCGCAGGUCUUUUUGAGCUGCCAGCGUGCACCAGCUCUCCAGUCGGGCGCAAGUACAGAUGCCAGCCCUCUGCCCGUGCAGCUCUAUUCACACGCGUGCACAAGAAACAUUUUACAAAAUACAUUUGCUUUCUGCUGCCUCCUGAGCAGCCGAGCCUCGGUAGGCUGCCUAAUUACGAGAUCUUAGCAAUAAUUUAUUUUUUUUUCUUUCCCCAGUGAUAAUUAACUGAUCCUGGAGAGCGCCGAAAAUAAGCACUUCCCAAGCAAGUAGCAAACUCCCCGGAGUUUUCCCUGCUAAAGUUACAGCUGAGCAAGAAACUGCUCCGGCCUCGUGGGGAUGUGGCUGACCCCAAAACCUCUCUGCCAAGGAUGCCAGAGCAGCCAGAGCAGCCAAAGGCAGGUGGGAUGGCACCCAUAGGUGCGUGAGGGGGGGCAACAGAGAUGGGACACCAAGCAGGGGUGCAUGCAAUGGGGAAAGGACCCCAAAGGGCAUGGAAAGGAGAGGCAGAUCCCAUGGGGGUGCAGUGGGGCAGGGUUCCUGAGGGGCAGGUGGGGGGAUGAGGGUGCCAAGGGGGGGUGUUAGGGUAAGGGCCAGGGCACAGUCUCCUGGCAGUGCCCUCCCUGAGGCCGGAGAGGUGCUGGAGAGGUGUGCAGGGCAGCGCUGGUCUCCAGUGGCAACAAGACAAGCCUCAACUCUCAGUGCUUUCCUCCUGCCUCUACUUCCAUGGGCGACAAACCCAAACAGCCCCUCCGAGCAGGCAGGGAGGGGUUGGGGAGGUUUGGGGGGGUCCCACCAGGUGCAUCCCGCAGGGCCAAGAGAGGGGAUCUGCGCCUGUGCGCGGUGUGCGUGCCAGGAGGUGCUACCCCAAAAAUAAAGAUUACUAAGUAAAAGGGCUGGGGAAGAAUAAAAAUGGGGGGGGGGAAAAAAAAAGAGAGAGAGAGAGAAUAAAAAAAAAAAAAUGAAAAGGGGAUAAACAAAUUAAAAAGGGAAUUAAAAAAAAAAAAAGAGAGAGAGAGAAAGAAGAAAGGGGGAAAUAAAUGAAAAAUGGGGAAAUGAAAAAAUAAAAAUUAGAAUAAAAAAUGAAAAAAGGGGGGAAUAAAUAAUGGAAAAAGGAAAAUAAAUGAAAAAAUUAAAUAAAUUAAAAGGGAAUAAAAAGAAAUCAAAAAAGAAAAAAAAAGAAAAGAGGGGGAAAAAUGAAAAAGGGGGAAAUAAAAAUGGCAAAGGGGGGAUUUUUUUAAUUUAUGUUUUUUUAAGGGGGAAAUAAGAACCCAAACCCGAGGGGCACGGCCUCGCUACCCCCCCCCCCCCCCCGUGUACCCCCCCCUCCUUCCCCCGGCAGGUACUCACCCGGAGCUCGGCGCGGCCCCGGCGGCUGCAGCGCCCGGAGCCGCCGGGGCUGUGCGGGGCCGUGCG
rnacentral:lncRNA from 1 species